rnacentral:tRNA from 1 species
GCGAGCGUAGUUCAGUGGCAGAACACCAGCUUCCCAAGCUGGUUAUGUGGGUUCGAUUCCCAUCGCUCGCU